rnacentral:rRNA from 1 species
GCAUAUCAAUAAGCGGAGGAAAAGAAACCAACAGGGAUUGCCUCAGUAACGGCGAAGUGAAGCGGCAACAGCUUCAAAUUUGAAAAUCUGGCCCCAGGCCCGAGUUGUAAUUUUGCAGAGGAUGCUUUUGGUGCGGUGCCUUCCAAGUUCCCUAGAACGGGACGCCAGAGAGGGUGAGAGCCCCGUACAGUUGGACACCAAGCCUUUGUAAAGCUCCUUCGACGAGUCGAGUAGUUUGGGAAUGCUGCUCAAAAUGGGAGGUAUAUUUCUUCUAAAGCUAAAUACCGGCCAGAGACCGAUAGCGCACAAGUAGAGUGAUCGAAAGAUGAAAAGCACUUUGAAAAGAGGGUUAAACAGCACGUGAAAUUGUUAAAAGGGAAGCGCUUGUGACCAGACUUGCGUCCGGUGAAUCACCCAGCUCUCGCGGCUGGGGCACUUCGCCGGCUCAGGCCAGCAUCAGCUCGCUGUCGGGGACAAAAGCUUCAGGAACGUAGCUCUCUUCGGGGAGUGUUAUAGCCUGUUGCACAAUACCCUUCGGCGGGCUGAGGUACGCGCUCCGCAAGGAUGCUGGCAUAAUGGUCAUCAGCGACCCGUCUUGAAACACGGACCAAGGAGUCAACCUUAUGUGCGAGUGUUCGGGUGUCAAACCCCUACGCGUAAUGAAAGUGAACGCAGGUGAGAGCUUCGGCGCAUCAUCGACCGAUCCUGAUGUUCUCGGAUGGAUUUGAGUAAGAGCAUAUAGGGUUGGACCCGAAAGAAGGUGAACUAUGCGUGUAUAGGGUGAAGCCAGAGGAAACUCUGGUGGAGGCUCGCAGCGGUUCUGACGUGCAAAUCGAUCGUCAAAUAUGCGCAUGGGGGGCGAAAGACUAAUCGAACCUUCUAGUAGCUGGUUUCCGCCGA